GACGAACGCUGGCGGCGUGCUUAACACAUGCAAGUCGAACGGAAAGGCCCUGCUUGCAGGGUACUCGAGUGGCGAACGGGUGAGUAACACGUGGGUGAUCUGCCCUGCACUUCGGGAUAAGCUUGGGAAACUGGGUCUAAUACCGGAUAGGUGCCAUCUUUAGUGUGGUGGUUGGAAAGUUUUUUCGGUGUAGGCUGAGCUCGCGGCCUAUCAGCUUGUUGGUGGGGUAAUGGCCUACCAAGGCGGCGACGGGUAGCCGGCCUGAGAGGGUGUACGGCCACAUAGGGACGGAGAGACGGCCCAGACUCCUACGGGAGGCAGCAGUGGGGAAUAUUGAACAAUGGGCGCAAGCCUGAUGCAGAGACGCCGCGUGGGGGAUGAAGGCCUUCGGGUUGUAAACUCCUGUCGCUAGGGAAGAAGCUUUGUUGUGACGGUACCUAGAUAAGAAGCACCGGCUAACUACGUG
rnacentral:rRNA from 1 species